UCACACAUCCGACCCUAGUAUAGCACUUAAGAGGCUUGGGCAAGAGGGUUGCUUGAGUUUAAUAAAUAAAAUAAGUUCUAGAUCAGGCUGAGUUACAGAGUAAGGCCCUGUCUCAAAAAAGAAGACAAAGAAAGAGAGAAGAGGAGGAGAGAGCACCUUAAUGUUUUUCUUGUAUGGAAAAUCAAAGUAGAGGGAUCUCUGUGCAGCUCAAGGAAGCAAAAUAUGGCCAGAAGAAUUGCCACAAAUUGUGGGAGAGGAAAACCUCACAAAGACAAGUGUGAGCAGAAGAAAGAUACAUGAAUCUUCAGACCUGAUCCAACCCAGCCCAAAGAAGCCGGGGAACCGAGAGACAUCAAAGAGCAGACUUGGAGCCCAUAAGGUGCAGUCAGUGAGUCCUUCCAUCCUUUAAAGCCUUUGGAAGCUGCCAUGAGUUCUCCAGUCAGAUGAACUGAAAUGCUUUAUGUGACCUUCAGUUGUUCUCUGAGGCCUCUCCAAGGACAUUGUCUACUUAAUAUGUACUGAUGCUACACUACUAGAACGGCUAAAUUUAUUAAUGAACACUUCUAAGAAACACUGAGAUGAUCUCUUUAACAUAAGAGCCCAAAGGAACGGGUUGGGGGCCUGUCAGCUCCCAAUCACGCAGGGCUGUGGCAGCUCUCAUAGUGCCCACCCAAUCCUGUCUUUGUACGGCAUCUAACCUUUUCUUUUGCAGGUUAUUAUCCAGGAAAGUUGUGCAAUUAUUGGAGUUUGGAAUCCAAUGAGUGUACACUAAAGAGCUUCUACCCCAUCUGAGAAGGAGCUAGUCCACACACCUGAUCAUCAAGAUGUCAAUCUCCCUCUACAAGAGUGGUGCUGGUUCCGAGCCUGCUGGGGAAUACAGCCCAAUUCAAACCUUCCAUCUUGUUGCUACUGGGAAAUGACAUCAUCCCCGAGGUGUUGAGUCACCGCAAAGGAGACAAUGACCCAGAAGAUGGCUGGCUGCUCCUUGUAUAACAAAUACCUCAUGGGAGAUGCCUGCAGCUUCCGUUUCCUGUGACUGACACCCCACUUGUCCUUGCCUGCUUAUGCAUCUAUCUCAUCAUUGUUCGAAAAUUGAGAGAACACAGCCCAUUCCUAGAGCUAAGUUAUUCAUUCUGGACUCUUGGGGGAAAAAUACACCAGAGGAAAAAAGAAUUUGCCUGAGAGGGUUAUCCUCCCAGAAGAGCUGGAAAAACUGACAGAAACUUUCCAGAGAGCCUGGGAAUGUUAGAACCUCAUCCACCUGGACCACUGGCCCCUGAUAAAGUCCUCAUGACCAUGUCCCCAUAGCACUGGGAUAAGCUGUCCAGGAUGAAACCUGUCACACAGACAUCACCACACCAAGUCACAGAUGGUUUGUACUGAGAAGAUGUCCAUACCACGUUAGUGUUAAGCACAGAAGGCGAAACCUGCUACACAGACAACACACCGGCCAAGCUACCACUGGUUGGUGAUGUAGAAAACCUCUGUGAAGAUGUGGUCCCUUUGACAUCUGGCUCAGACACACAAGCUAAAGAGAAUGCCAUGCAAAUUAGGCCAGGUGAGGACCCUAGGCCUGAUAACAAGUGGGUUGAUCCCUGUCCAGGAGUAUGGUCCCAACUCAAUGAAGAAAUCUUCAUGCACCGGGUUUCUGACCCCAGGCUGAUCCAUGUAUGCAAAUGUGACUCUCUGAGGGCUUGUCUCUCCUUCUCGUCACUUAAGAAAACCCUAAGUCUUGUGUCUCUGGACAGAGUAGACCUGAUCCAGAUUGCGCUGUUCCUCUUGCAUUUGGUUCUCAGCACACCUGAUGGUUAGUGUUCCACUCCUGGGUCGUGAACAUUUCCCAGGGCUUUUACACUUUCCCUCAGCGUUAUCAUUGGCUGCUCACCCAAUCUCUGAAGGACAAAUGAUAGGUACAUAGAUAAACCUGUGUCAGCAACUUUCAAAUAUACAAUUCAGAGUUCUGCUCUUCAAGCUCACCAUCUUACAUUAAAGUUCUCUUGAACUUACAAGGAACUUAGCAAUCUCCUCACACACUGGAGUUAAACUUCAUGUCUUCACAGUGCUGGCAAGAAACUUACUGUGAAAUGUAAUUCUUUACCAUUACAAGCGUGUUCUUCGUGGUCGCACUGGAAGAGGAGUCAGGGACAGCUGCUGAGAGCUGUAUCUGGGGAUGUCUUGUCUGCUAAUGAGCCCUGGCUUCCUUGGCAGACAAGGCAUGAUUGGCUGGACUCAAUGAGAAUUCUUUGACUUGUUCCCCUCUCAGACCCAUCCAACCCAGACAGCCUUUAUGUCUAGCAUAGAUCUACAUACAUAUGUACACAUGUAACGCACAUACUAACGAAUGCUUCCAGAGUUUGUAAAGGGCAUGUGCUCCGCUAAGCACAGUGAGUGUUACAGAAAGGAAAGGGUCUCUACUGAGAUCUUAAAAAAUAAACAAACCCCAUAAAAU
ensembl:antisense uncharacterized LOC110289570